CCGUAACUAUAACGGUCCUAAGGUAGCGAAAUUCCUUGUCGGGUAAGUUCCGACCCGCACGAAAGGCGUAACGAUUUGGGCACUGUCUCAACAAUAGACUCGGUGAAAUUGUAAUCCCGGUGAAGAUGCCGGGUACCUGCGACAGGACGGAAAGACCCCAUGGAGCUUUACUGUAGCUUGACGUUGGGUCUUGGUACUACAUGUACAGGAUAGGUGGGAGACUAUGAAGCAUGGACGCCAGUCUGUGUGGAGUCAUCCUUGGGAUACCACCCUUGUAGUACUGGGAUCCUAACCAUAGGCCUUGAAUCAGGUCUUGGAACACCGUCAGGUGGGCAGUUUGACUGGGGCGGUCGCCUCCUAAAAAGUAACGGAGGCGCUCAAAGGUUUCCUCAGCACGGUCGGAAAUCGUGCGAAGAGUGUAAAGGCAAAAGGAAGCUUGAUUGCAAGACAUACAGGUCGAGCAAGGACGAAAGUCGGACUUAGUGAUCCGGUGGUACCGCAUGGAAGGGCCAUCGCUCAACGGAUAAAAGCUACCCUGGGGAUAACAGGCUUAUCUCCCCCAAGAGUCCACAUCGACGGGGAGGUUUGGCACCUCGAUGUCGGCUCAUCACAUCCUGGGGCUGUAGUAGGUCCCAAGGGUUGGGCUGUUCGCCCAUUAAAGUGGUACGCGAGCUGGGUUCAGAACGUCGUGAGACAGUUCGGUCCCUAUCCGUCGCAGGCGUAGGAAAUUUGAGAAGACCUGUCCUUAGUACGAGAGGACCGGGAUGGACGUACCUCUGGUGUACCAGUUGUUCUGCCAAGGGCAUGGCUGGGUAGCUAUGUACGGAAUGGAUAAGCGCUGAAAGCAUCUAAGCGCGAAGCCAACUUCAAGAUAAGAUUUCCCACCGUAAGGGUAAGACCCCAGGAAGACUACCUGGUUGAUAGGUCGAAGGUGUAAGUGCAGUAAUGUAUUUAGCUUAUCGAUACUAAUAGGUCGAGGACUUGACCAA
rnacentral:rRNA from 1 species